rnacentral:rRNA from 1 species
UACGGGGGGGGGCAAGCGUUGUUCGGAAUUACUGGGCGUAAAGGGCUCGUAGGCGGCCAACUAAGUCAGACGUGAAAUCCCUCGGCUUAACCGGGGAACUGCGUCUGAUACUGGAUGGCUUGAAUCCGGGAGAGGAAUGCGGAAUUCCAGGUGUAGCGGUGAAAUGCGUAGAUAUCUGGAGGAACACCGGUGGCGAAGGCGGCAUCCUGGACCAACACUGACACUGAGGAGCGAAAGCCAGGGGAGCAAACGGG